rnacentral:rRNA from 1 species
AACGAACGAGACCCCCGCCUGCUAAAUAGUGUGGCUUACGCUUUUGCGUAGGUGCUCGCUUCUUAGAGGGACUUCUGGUGACCAACCAGAGGAAGUUGGGGGCAAUAACAGGUCUGUGAUGCCCUUAGAUGUCCUGGGCCGCACGCGCGCUACACUGAUGCAUGCAACGAGUUAUUUUUCCUGGGUCGAGAGGCCCGGGUAAUCUGUUGAACGUGCAUCGUGAUAGGGAUAGAUCAUUGCAAUUAUUGAUCUUGAACGAGGAAUUCCUAGUAAACGCGAGUCAUCAGCUCGCAUUGAUUACGUCCCUGCCCUUUGUACACACCGCCCGUCGCACCUACCGAUUGAAACAUUCGGUGAGGAUUCCGGAUUCCGUUGCAUACGCUUCACGGCGUUGCUGNNNNNAAAAGUUAUCCAAACCU